rnacentral:snRNA from 1 species
AGGAAAAAUAGCUACCUGUUAU